AGCAGCCUGCAAUAGGAGGCCCUGCCAAUUUGCAACUGGAGGUGACCCCACUGAGGUGUUUCCAGGCUUGUACAUGAUGCAGCUCGAUACCUUCACUGCUAUUCAGCUCAGCCUGAGGCAUGAUGAUGAGCAUGUAUGAAAUUCAGCUCAGCGAGCUGAUGCUAAAACAGUACGAAAUGUCAGUUCUCAGCAAGGGUAAUAACACUUCUGGGGCAUUAAUCAUCCACUGGGACACAGCCAGACAGCAGCAAAUUGCAGGCUAAUAAGAGAAAAUAUACAUGAUGUAUUGUGGGUGUGAUUAACUUCCAGGGCAAAUAUCUGCCAAAUAUGACUGUAAGGAUUGUACCACAGAGGAAGGGGUGGGACAAAACCAGCAUGAGCUGCUAAGGAGGGUGUGACUGGCAAUGCUGGGCUGCAUUUUCGUCAGUGAGCCAGCACUCAAGGAAAGAGCCAGCUGAGGCUGCUGAGGGUGGUUCUGAAGAGGUACAGUUUUGGGAAGGCAAAGCCACUUGGCUUCCUGCAGCACAGGCUGUGCUUUGGAGUGGCAGAAAUACUGGUUGUAAACUGAGCAAGAGCAGCAGAGAGUACCGUGGUGCAGUGCUGAUGUAAUAGGAUACCUUCAGAGGUGUGUGCACACCCUUUUGUAGGGGGUAUUAGGGCUAGCCUCAGUAAACUGUGCACACUGAUUUCCAUCUGACAAUUACACAUGCCAGCCACAGAAUACAGAAAUACUCUGCAAUGUAAAUUCCAUGCCAAUAGGGGAUCUCACCUGAGGUAAUAACCACUUGCUUGUGGUUUGCUUGGAACCACUUUAAAUUGUCAGAGGAUUUUGAUUCAGUGAUUUAAGGAUUUGAAGAUUCUCUGAAUUUGCUAUCAUGGAGAAGAUUUAAUUUACCAGAAGAAUCACAGCACAAUUAAGUGUACUAGAAAUACAAACUGGAAAAAAAACGGGCAAAGUAAAAACAUAUGGGCAAGAAAAUUUUUAUGUGGAGACAUAAAUCCUGGAUUUAAUAUAAAAAGCCUUUAUCUGCUUUUGUUUGUUACACAGACUAUUUUUAUUGUGGUUAGAUUUUAAAUGUGUUAUGUCAGCAUGCUGAUUAUGAACUAAAUGUGACAAUUCAUACUGUGGCAUGUGCAAAAAGAGUAUAUAUCAGUAGAUGUAAAGAUAUAUGCUGACCUUGAGUAUGUGCAGAAAUGCAUUGUGAAAAACACAGACUUAAUGUAAAAGUGAUUUUAUUUUAAGACCCAAGCAUGAAACUGCCUAAACAACUUGGACUCAUAAAAUGUGGGAGUCACAAAUUAUGCUUUUUUUCAAUAUUUAUGUUAUUCUUUCAUAUGUGAUAAGUGAAUCUUAAUCUGUUAAAAAAAAUUCAAUCGUUGACUUGCUUCUACCUUUCUGUGGCAGCCUAAAGUGGGUCUUUCUUUUCUGAGUGCCAGAUAAUUUCCUUAGCAAACACAUAUCACUGUCAAAAAAUAAGUAGAGUAAGUAAACUGAAGGUUUCAAUCCUAAAUCAUAGAAAGUUUUGCCUUUUUUGUUGUUGUUGUAUUGUCUUUCCACCACAUCAGUGAAAAUUAAAGACAAGUUAAAUAUACUGUCAGCAUUUUAAAAGGGUUUUCUAUCAAAGAAGGAUUAAGAAACCAAGGAAAAAGCCAAACAGAACACGAGCAGGAAAUAAGAAUAAUUUCCAUCUCUGCCCUUUUUGCGAGCUUAGUUUCGAAUUACUUCUAAGAGGGAUCAAGUUUCUGACAGAAGAUUGACCUUCAAAAGGGAUGAAGUCCCUUAUCUCCCAAACUACUAUUGAGCUCAGCUUCAGACUGUCAUAGAUCCAGCAGCUUAUGUAAGAGCAGCAUUCAUUUAAAAGGUGCGAGCUCUCCUUCUUGCAAUCUGCUUCAUUUUGAAAUAAACUGAACAUGUCUGUGUAUGGACAAACCUUAUGAAAGUUUAAAAAGAAAGCCACAGCUCCUAAAUCUAUUUAUCUCUGCUCAUGCACC